rnacentral:rRNA from 1 species
GUGUUGAUUACGGUGAGGGUACACCCGUUCCCAUCCCGAACACGGAAGUUAAGCUCACAGGUGCCGAAGAUACUCGGUCGGAGACGACCCGGGAAAAUAGGUUGAUGCCG